rnacentral:rRNA from 1 species
AUUGAUUCAUCUUACCCUUAAUCCGCCCGGGGACUACAAGUAUUAACUUAAAACCCAAAGGACUUGGCGGUGCUUUAGACCCACCUAGAGGAGCCUGUUCUAGAACUGAUAACCCCCGUUAAACCUCACCCUCCCUUGUUAUUCCCGCCUAUAUACCGCCGUCGUCAGCUUACCCUUUGAGGGCAUCAAAGUGAGCAUAAUUGGCACACCCCAAAACGUCAGGUCGAGGUGUAGUACAUGGGAGGGGAAGAAAUGGGCUACAUUCGUCCACCGACGAACAACGAAUGAUCUAUUGAAAUAUAGACCUAAAGGAGGAUUUAGUAGU